AGUGAACGCUGGCGGUAGGCCUAACACAUGCAAGUCGAACGGCAGCACAGUAAGAGCUUGCUCUUACGGGUGGCGAGUGGCGGACGGGUGAGGAAUACAUCGGAAUCUACUUUUUCGUGGGGGAUAACGUAGGGAAACUUACGCUAAUACCGCAUACGACCUACGGGUGAAAGCAGGGGAUCUUCGGACCUUGCGCGAUUGAAUGAGCCGAUGUCGGAUUAGCUAGUUGGCGGGGUAAAGGCCCACCGGGGCGACGAUCCGUAGCUGGUCUGAGAGGAUGAUCAGCCACACUGGAACUGAGACACGGUCCAGACUCCUACGGGAGGCAGCAGUGGGGAAUAUUGGACAAUGGGCGCAAGCCUGAUCCAGCCAUACCGCGUGGGUGAAGAAGGCCUUCGGGUUGUAAAGCCCUUUUGUUGGGAAAGAAAAGCAGCAGGUUAAUACCCCGCUGUUCUGACGGUACCCAAAGAAUAAGCACCGGCUAACUUCGUG
rnacentral:rRNA from 1 species